UCCAGACUCCUACGGGAGGCAGCAGUGAGGAAUAUUGGUCAAUGGCCGGGAGGCUGAACCAGCCAAGUCGCGUGAGGGAAGACGGCCCUACGGGUUGUAAACCUCUUUUGUCAGGGAGCAAGGUGCAGGUCGGGACCUGCUGUGAGAGUACCUGAAGAAAAAGCAUCGGCUAACUCCGUGCCAGCAGCCGCGGUAAUACGGAGGAUGCGAGCGUUAUCCGGAUUUAUUGGGUUUAAAGGGUGCGUAGGCGGUCCGUUAAGUCAGCGGUAAAAUUGGGGGGCUCAACCCCGUCGAGCCGUUGAAACUGGCAGACUUGAGUUGGCGAGAAGUACGCGGAAUGCGCGGUGUAGCGGUGAAAUGCAUAGAUAUCGCGCAGAACUCCGAUUGCGAAGGCAGCGUACCGGCGCCAGACUGACGCUGAGGCACGAAAGCGUGGGGAUCGAACAGGAUUAGAUACCCGUGUAA
rnacentral:rRNA from 1 species